CAGAGUUGCAAAACUCCCAACCCUUGUGAACUUACCCGUCAUAGUUGCUUCGGCAGGCAGCCCCAGGGCGGGGUUGCAGCCUCCUAGCGAGGUGCCUGCCGGAGAUAUCUUAACUCUUGUUUUUAAAUGGAUCUCUGAGUAAAUAUUUAAAUAAGUCA
rnacentral:misc_RNA from 1 species